rnacentral:lncRNA from 1 species
GUCACUUCUGCUCACAUUUCACUGGCCAGAGUAAGUCACAUGGCCAAGCCUCGUCAGAGGGCGUGGAAGGACGUUCUGGGGACAGGAUGGUAUAACCUGCUUAGGAGAAGGAAUUGCUGGGCACAACGGCACCAUCUAUCAUCCGGCUGGCACUGGUUAAGGCUUACGUGUGUGGGGCUUUGUGCCAGCAGCUUCACACCCUUAGCUCAUUGACUCCUCAUGUAGCCCCAUUUUAUAGGUAAGAAAACUGAGGCUUUGAGAGGGAGAGAGACUUGCUCAUCGAUCAUAAACAAGAUUAACUGACAGACUGAGAAAAUCCUGAAGGUCUACAUGCUUCUCAGGUCUUGCCCCGUUCCAUCUUCUUGAGGCCAGGGUGAGAAAAUCCUUGGCCUAGGAUGUAGCCCACGCGGAACACUCACAAAUGGUAGUGGAGUUAAAGAUCUGAGUUGAGGCCAGGCGCGGUGGCUCACGCCUGUAAUCCCAGCACUUUGGGAGGCCGAGGCAGGUGGAUUACCUGAGGUCAGGAGUUCGAGACCAGCCUGGCCAACACGGCAAAACCCUGUCUUAACUAAAAAUACAAAAAUUAGCCAGGCAUGGUGGUGCAUGUCUGUAAUCCCAGGUACAUGGAAAGCUGAGGCAGGAGAAUCGCUUGAACCUGGGAGGCGGAGGUUGCGGUGAGUUGAGAUCGCGCCAAUUGCACUUCAGCCUGGGAGAAACUCCGUCUCAAAAAAAAAAGAUCCUAGUUGGGUGUGGGGGCGUCUUGAGCCAGCAAUGCAGCUGCACAUCCCACCAGGGUGCCGGAAGAGCUUGCUCUGGGGGAGCCCACACCCCACCUUUCAGCUCAGCUCUGCCUCCACCGUGCCUGCAAAUCUAGGUGCUCCCCAGAGUGCACAGGGUCAAGGGAGGGCAGGGGUUUACAGAAGUAAAUCCAACUCCUCCUGGAGGAAAGGGAGAGAAGGAGCCUUGUGCAUCCCAGGACCCUGUGACCCUGUGAUCACUCCUUUGCGGCUGAAUCUCCCAGGCUCUAAGUGCCUCUGGGGGGUUAUGAAUUUCUUGUCUGCUUGUUUGUUUCAGCAGGGGUGGGCAGGGGGCAGAAAAACCUUAUGUUCUUUUUAUUAUGCUCCUCAUUUUACAGAUAGAGAAACUGAGGCCCAGGGAGGUUAAAGCCACUUCCCACAGCAAGGGCUGAUGAUAGAUCCAGGACUCAAGUGCAGCUGGGGCGGGCGCUGGGAGGACUGGGCACUGAGGCCCCAGAUUGGGAAACGGAGGCUCCGAGGUGCCAGAGCUUGCAAACCGAUGGAGGUUGGCCAGACUUCAUGAGCCACACUCUGAAUAUUCCCUUUGAGGCACAAACAACAGAAUCAAGAAGGAGGCCACGCGCGGAGGCUCACACCUGUCAUCCCAGCACUUUGGGAGCCGAGGUGGGUGGAUCACUUGAGGCCAGGAGUUUGAGGCCAGCCUGGCCAACAUGGCGAAAUCCCAUCUCUCCUAAAAAUACAAAAAUUAUCUGGCUGUGCUGGUGCACACCUGUAGUCCCAGCUACUUGGGAGGCUGAGGCCGGAUAAUCGCUUGAACCUGGGAGGUGAAGGGUGCAGUGAGCCGAGAUCACACCACUACACAUCAGCCUGGGUUAACAAAGCAAGACUCUGUCUCAAAAAAAAAAAAGAAAAAAAAGAAAGAAAGAGAGAGAGAGAGAAAGAAAAAGAGAGAAAGAAAGAAAGAAAGAAAGAAAGAAGGAAAGAAAGAAAGAAAAGAAAGAAAGAAGAAAGAAAGAAAAGGAAAAGAAAAGAAAAGGGAGGGAGGGAGGGAGGGAGGAAGGAAGGAAGGAAGGAAGGAAGGAAGGAAGGAAGGAAGGAAGGAAUCAAGAAGGAAAGCCCUGCCUGCCUUGCCACAAAGCUCUAGGCCUCCCACCCUCCUCCCUGCUGAGUCAGGUGCCCACUGUGGACUCGAGGCUUUGGGUUCCGCCAAGAUGGCCAGAUAGGGACUUCUAUGCUGGUUUCCCUGACGCCAUUUCCCUCCCAGCCCUGGCUUUCCAGAGCCCUAAACUGCCUUUCCCUAUGAAAGGGGAUAGAGCUUCCCACAGCCACCCGUGCCUCUCUGUGACUAUCAGAACAGGGGCCCCACUGACACCAAUAAUGAUGCCUGCUGUAUGAGGCCAGCCUGUUCUCUGCAGCCCUGAGGUCAGAGGACAAAACGAGACACAACCUAUGUGCCCAUCCUCUGGGGAUUGGAUAACCACAUACAGGUACAUGUGCACAAUGGAAUACUACGCAGCCAGGAAAAAUAAUGAGGUGCAAUAAAUUGCCAAACAGGACAUAUAAUAUUGACUGGCAUUUUUAGGGAAGCGUGGUGGCUUCCACCUGUAAUCCCAGCACUUUGGGAGGCCAAGGUGGUAGAACCACUUGCACCCAGGAGUUUGACACCAGCCUGGGCAACAUAGUGAGACUCUAUAUCUAGAAGAAAUAAAAAAUUCGCCGGGUUUGGUGGCCUGUGCCUGUAGUCCCAGCUGCUCGGGAGGCUGAGGUGGGAGGAUGGCUUGAGCUGUGAUCAUGCAACUGCACUCCAGCCUGGGCAAGAGAGCAAGACCCUAUCUCACACAAAAAAAAGUUUCUAUAAGUAUCUGUAUUGACAGAAAAACUCCAACCCUGA